rnacentral:rRNA from 1 species
AGGACGAACGCUGGCGGCGCGCCUAACACAUGCAAGUCGAGCGAUAACCAGGGCUUGCCCUGGGGACAGCGGCGAACGGGUGCGUAACACGUGAGCAACCUGCCCCAAAGACCGGGACAACCCGAGGAAACUCGGACUAAUACCGGAUGCCCUCACCGGGCCGCAUGGUCUGGUGAGGAAAUGGAUUCCGCUUUGGGAUGGGCUCGCGGUCUAUCAGCUUGUUGGUGGGGUAACGCCUACCAAGGCAACGACGGAUAGCUGGUCUGAGAGGACGAUCAGCCACACUGGGACUGAGACACGGCCCAGACUCCUACGGGAGGCAGCAGUGGGGAAUCUUGCGCAAUGGGGGAAACCCUGACGCAGCGACGCCGCGUGCGGGAUGAAGGCCUUCGGGUUGUAAACCGCUUUCAGCAGGGACGAAAUUGACGGUACCUGCAGAAGAAGGCCCGGCCAACUACGUGCCAGCAGCCGC